GGGUGGAUACUUUGAAGAAUCUGAAAUAUAUUUUGAUUUAACACUUUGUUGGUUACUACAUGUGUUUUUUUUUCAUUGUUUUGAUUUCUUCACAAUUAUUCUACAAUGUAUAAAAUAGUAAUACAUUUUUCUUUUAAAUGAGAACCUUGAAUGAGUAGGUGUUAUAACAUUUUUGACCGAUACUGUAUAUGUCUACUUCAUCACAGCACUCGUGCUUUCUCCGUUUUAGAGACAUUGUCUUGCAAGCACUGUGACUCAUUUAAAAGCCUUUUAACUAACGUCCUGUGGUUUUUGACCCGAACAAAACAAUUACGUCACUGUCUGAAAGUAGCCAAUGUACUUAUGGUGAUCGAGUCUUCUGUUAACAGUAACAAGGCCUUCUAGAUGUAGGCUGUAUCAUUGGAGAUGUAUAUUUAGAGAAACGUACAGCAAUAGUAUACAGGUCGUGUCUCUCGAGGUUUGCCUGACCACCUACUUCACCAGCUUGUUUGUGUGUGUGUGCUCACGAUCUGCUGUAAAGUCUGUAACAACGGAUCGGUGAGCGAAACUCGUUCCGUUUCAACGUGUGUUUGUGCGUGUGUACACUGUUCAUGUUCAAAAACAAUCAACGUUCUUGUAAAGAUGGACUUUUGGUAGGCCAGGUUGGUAGGCCAGGUUGGUAGGCCAGGUUGGUAGGCCAGGUUGGUAGGCCAGGUUGGUAGGCCAGGUUGGUUGGCCAGGUUGGUUGGCCAGGUUGGUUGGCCAGGUUGGUUGGCCAUCUUCUGAUUUUGAUCCAAAUAUAAAACAAGUGAUUAUUUCUCUGACACAAUAACAUGUGGCUGAAGAAGACGAUCAACGAUCAAUAGUUUGAUCCCAGUGUGUUACAGUGGGACGAUAUGCUCUUCCAGGAAGAACUAUGACGCUGAAGCUUGAAUAUGUUUUUAAUGAACAAGUAUUACAGGCCUCUCUCAUCAUGUUCCCGUUUAACAGUCAAAUGCAUGUAAUAAAAGGGAACAAAAAAGUGCCAAGUUUCCUCUAAAAAUACAAUCGUAACAGAUGGGAUGCUUCUGCCCCCCCCUUCCCAACCACCACCUACCUGUUUCUUCAGCCAUUGAUGUUAAUGUAAACAGUGUAACAUUGACAAUAUCUUUUUUAUUAUUGUAUAAAGUUUCCCCGUUUUUGUUUUAUUUUAUGAUAAAGAAAUAAGGUCAUUACUGCCUUUGCUGCCUACUUUGGCGCCGGGAGUCGAUUUACAAAAGGUCAGUUGCUGUCGGUCCAGCAAACAGUUGUUUUUAUGUUUUUAAUUCAUUCAAGAAAUGGGUGCGAUCAACCUGAAUUGAGUAGUUUGCAGCAUGGAACCAACAUGAGCUUUGUCACCUAUCACCUUACUAUGGAAUUACACAACAACGAGAAAAGCUACAUGGCCUUUUCCAAACCCUUCACUCUAUUGUCAUGUCAAUAAGGUGGUCGCUGAAUCUUUUUGGGGUUUGCUCGGUGUUUUCAGGAUGUCAGCUGGGAGAAGUGAGUUCGGGAAACGCCUGCCUGAAUCGUUCUCCAGUCAGCUGUCUUUCUGCUUUGGGGUUUUUGGUUUCUAAUAUCCCAUAACUCUUUUCAACAAUGGGACCAGCUAUGCUAGUUAGCAACGGCACUAGUCCAAUUAAGUUGUUUGUUUUCACGGUCAAGAAAAGCAUCAGUUCUCACGUUUUACUCAACAAGGAGAAGGCAGUUCUCUCUUACAGGGGUGGAAUGUUGUUACAUGCCUUUUUAGAAUCUGGACAAACGAUUAACCUGGUAAAAUACUCUCUUAACCUUGUGUGAAGCUUUUUGCAAAUACUGUGUACAUACUGUACUUGCAAUCGGUUUUAAUUUUGUCAGUCGUAUUUUUUGUUUUCUUCCAAAAGCAGCUGUUUUUUGGGGGGGGGGGUUAAUGAGCUCUGAACAACGUAUGUAUGUAUCCUCUAAUAUGCCAAAUGUCUUUUUAUAACAUAGAUUUGUCAUGCACUGCUAAACAGGACAGAGCGAGAAGCAGCUUUAAAUAAAUGAAAAGCCGUGUUGGAGGAGCCCUUCUCUGACACACUCUGCCUUGAAUACUCCUCGAGACGAUUGGCUGGCUGCAUUAUGGAGUAGUAAUGUUUCCCUCUCCUCUGUGUCUCUCUGCACCUACGUUUUGACUUCACUCUCUUAGCUCUGCACGCUUAACUUCGCUGCAGUCCCAUUUCUUAUCUUGUCCCCCUCGCGCAUCCUUUCACACACACUCUGUCUCCACCUUUCUCUCUGUCUCUGUGUGUAAUGUUCCAUUAAUGGUAAACACAGAGGGGUCAGCCAGUGGUAGUAUACUCAGCGAUCGAAGGGUUUGCUGAUGGUAGAAAUCUGUGCAGUUUGUAACAUUUUUAGCAAUAACGUGAAACAAGGGGACUGUUUUUUUGAUAACAUUAUGAUUGGUUGUUUUUUUUUUUUUGUACAUAUUGAAAUUCCAUGUCAUUUAAAGGAAAAAAAACAAGAAAAAAGUUGCUAUAUUGGCAUAUAAAAAAAACAAACACAAGAAAUAAAAAAAGUGACAAUUA